rnacentral:rRNA from 1 species
UACAGAGGGGGCAAGCGUUGUUCGGAAUUACUGGGCGUAAAGGGCGCGUAGGCGGCCUUCUAAGUCAUGCGUGAAAUCCCCGGGCUCAACCCGGGAACUGCGUCUGAUACUGGUAGGCUUGAAUCCGGGAGAGGGAUGCGGAAUUCCAGGUGUAGCGGUGAAAUGCGUAGAUAUCUGGAGGAAUACCGGUGGCGAAGGCGGCAUCCUGGACCGGCAUUGACGCUGAGGAGCGAAAGCCAGGGGAGCAAACGGG